rnacentral:rRNA from 1 species
GACGAACGCUGGCGGCGUGCUUAACACAUGCAAGUCGAACGGAAAGGCCCUGCUUUUGUGGGGUGCUCGAGUGGCGAACGGGUGAGUAACACGUGAGUAACCUGCCCUUGACUUUGGGAUAACUUCAGGAAACUGGGGCUAAUACCGGAUAGGAGCUCCUGCUGCAUGGUGGGGGUUGGAAAGUUUCGGCGGUUGGGGAUGGACUCGCGGCUUAUCAGCUUGUUGGUGGGGUAGUGGCUUACCAAGGCUUUGACGGGUAGCCGGCCUGAGAGGGUGACCGGCCACAUUGGGACUGAGAUACGGCCCAGACUCCUACGGGAAGCAGCAGUGGGGAAUAUUGCACAAUGGGCGGAAGCCUGAUGCAGCAACGCCGCGUGCGGGAUGACGGCCUUCGGGUUGUAAACCGCUUUCGCCUGUGACGAAGCGUGAGUAACGGUAAUGGGUAAAGAAGCACCGGCUAACUACGUG